rnacentral:rRNA from 1 species
CGCGCAGGCGGUCGUUCAAGUCGCGUGUGAAAGCCCCCGGCUCAACUGGGGAGGGUCACGCGAUACUGAUCGACUCGAAGGCAGGAGAGGGUAGUGGAAUUCCCGGUGUAGUGGUGAAAUGCGUAGAUAUCGGGGGGAACACCAGUGGCGAAGGCGACUACCUGGCCUGUUUCUUGACGCUGAGGCGCGAAAGCUAGGGAGCAAACG